rnacentral:rRNA from 1 species
GUCUCAAAGACUAAGCCAUGCAUGUCUAAGUAUAAACGCUUCUAUACUGUGAAACUGCGAAUGGCUCAUUAAAUCAGUUAUAGUUUAUUUGAUGGUUCCUUACUACUUGGAUAACCGUAGUAAUUCUAGAGCUAAUACAUGCAGCAAGUCCCGACUUCUGGAAGGGAUGUAUUUAUUAGAUCCAAAACCAGCGCGAGUCCUCCGGGGCUCGGUUGCUCGGUGAUUCAUGAUAACUGCUCGAACCGUAUGGCCUUCGUGCCGACGGUGCUUCAUUCAAAUUUCUGCCCUAUCAACUUUCGAUGGUACGGUAGUGGCCUACCAUGGUUGCAACGGGUGACGGAGAAUUAGGGUUCGAUUCCGGAGAGGGAGCCUGAGAAACGGCUACCACAUCCAAGGAAGGCAGCAGGCGCGCAAAUUACCCAAUCCCGACUCGGGGAGGUAGUGACAAUAAAUAACAAUGCCGGGCUAUCGUAGUCUGGCAAUUGGAAUGAGAACAAUCUAAACCCCUUAACGAGGAACAAUUGGAGGGCAAGUCUGGUGCCAGCAGCCGCGGUAAUUCCAGCUCCAAUAGCGUAUAUUAAAGUUGUUGCAGUUAAAAAGCUCGUAGUUGGAUUUCGGGGCGGCUCGGCUGGUCCGUCGCAGGACGAGUACUGGUCGGCCGCCCUUCCUCUCGAAAGCCCCGACUGCUCUUUAUUGUAGUGGUCGGGGAGUUCGGGACGUUUACUUUGAAAAAAUUAGAGUGUUCAAGGCAGGCCGUCGCCUGAAUACAUUAGCAUGGAAUAAUGGAAGAGGACCUCGGUCCUAUUUUGUUGGUUUCCAGGGCCGAAGUAAUGAUUAAGAGGGACAGUUGGGGGCAUUCGUAUUUAAUUGUCAGAGGUGAAAUUCUCGGAUUUAUGAAAGACGAACAACUGCGAAAGCAUUUGCCAAGGAUGUUUUCAUUAAUCAAGAACGAAAGUUAGGGGUUCGAAGACGAUCAGAUACCGUCGUAGUCCUAACCAUAAACUAUGCCGACUAGGGAUCGGCGGAUGUUAGCGUUUGACUCCGUCGGCACCUUAUGAGAAAUCAAAGUCUUUGGGUUCCGGGGGGAGUAUGGUCGCAAGGCUGAAACUUAAAGGAAUUGACGGAAGGGCACCACCAGGAGUGGAGCCUGCGGCUUAAUUUGACUCAACACGGGGAAACUCACCAGGUCCAGACAUAGUAAGGAUUGACAGA